rnacentral:rRNA from 1 species
GUGGGGAAUCUUCCACAAUGGACGAAAGUCUGAUGGAGCAACGCCGCGUGAGUGAAGAAGGGUUUCGGCUCGUAAAGCUCUGUUGUCGGGGACGAAUGUGCAGUAUUUGAAUAAAGUGCUGUAAUGACGGUACCUGACGAGGAAGCCACGGCUAACUACGUGCCAGCAGCCGCGGUAAUACGUAGGUGGCAAGCGUUGUCCGGAAUUAUUGGGCGUAAAGGGAGCGCAGGCGGGAAGGUAAGUCGGUCUUAAAAGUGCGGGGCUCAACCCCGUGAUGGGAUCGAAACUAUCUGUCUUGAGUGCAGGAGAGGAAAGUGGAAUUCCUAGUGUAGCGGUGAAAUGCGUAGAUAUUAGGAGGAACACCAGUGGCGAAGGCGACUUUCUGGACUGUAACUGACGCUGAGGCUCGAAAGCGUGGGUAGCAAACAGGAUUAGAUACCCUGGUAGUCC